UUUACUGGUGCCCUCCCUUAAUUACCUAUUUACUGGUGCCCUUCCCUAAUUACCCAUUUACUGGUGCCCUCCCCUAAUUCCCCAUUUACUGGUUUAGUCAGGCUCUCGCACCCACCCAUUUU